rnacentral:rRNA from 1 species
AGUGAACGCUGGCGGUAGGCCUAACACAUGCAAGUCGAACGGCAGCACAGUAAGAGCUUGCUCUUACGGGUGGCGAGUGGCGGACGGGUGAGGAAUACAUCGGAAUCUACUUUUUCGUGGGGGAUAACGUAGGGAAACUUACGCUAAUACCGCAUACGACCUACGGGUGAAAGCAGGGGAUCUUCGGACCUUGCGCGAUUGAAUGAGCCGAUGUCGGAGUAGCUAGUUGGCGGGGUAAAGGCCCACCAAGGCGACGAUCCGUAGCUGGUCUGAGAGGAUGAUCAGCGACACGGGAACUGAGACACGGUCCAGACGCCUACGGGAGGCAGCAGUGGGGAAUAUUGGACAAUGGGCGCAAGCCUGAUCCAGCCAUACCGCGUGGGUGAAGAAGGCCUUCGGGUUGUAAAGCCCUUUUGUUGGGAAAGAAAAGCAGCAGGUUAAGACCCCGCUGUUCUGACGGUACCCAAAGAAUAAGCACCGGCUAACUUCGUG